AUGGCGACCAAGAUAUACAUCGUGUACUACUCGACCUGGGGGCACGUCGCGACGCUGGCGGAGGAGAUAAAGAAGGGCGCCGACUCCGUCCCCGGCGUGGAGGUCACCAUAUGGCGGGUGCCGGAGACGCUGCCGGAGGGCGUGCUGGCGAAGAUGCACGCCGCGCCGGGGCGCCAGGACCACCCCGUCAUCACGGCGGGCCAGCUGGCCGAGGCCGACGGCGUCCUGUUCGGCACCCCGACGCGGUUCGGCAUGAUGGCGGCGCAGAUGAAGGCCUUCUUCGACUCCACCGGCGGCCUCUGGAAGGAGCAGUCCCUCGCCGGCAAGCCCGCGGGCGUCUUCUUCGCGACGGCCACCCAGGGCGGCGGCCAGGAGUCCACCGCGCUCACGGCCGUCACGCAGCUGGCGCACCACGGCAUGCUGUUCGUGCCUGUCGGGGGCACGCACGGCGCCGGCAUGCUGAUCAUGGACGAGGUCAAGGGCGGCAGCGCGUACGGGGCGGGCACCUUCGCCGGCGCCGACGGUAGCAGGGUGCCCACUGGCGCCGAGCUCGCUUUGGCGGAGCACCAGGGGAGGUACUUCGCCGGCAUCGCUAAGAAGCUCAAGUCCGUGUGA
rnacentral:rRNA from 1 species